rnacentral:rRNA from 1 species
AAAGAUUAAGCCAUGCAUGUCUAUGCACACGCCCUUGAUUGGUGAAGCCGCGAAAAGCUCAUUACAACAGCCAUAGUUUAUUGGAUCUUUACGUUCCUACAAGGAUACCUGCGGUAAUUCUGGAGCUAAUACUUGCGAAAAACGACGACCUUACGGAAGUCGUGCAUUUGUUAGACUAAACCAAUCGGUGCUUCGGCACCGUCAUUUGGUGAACUCUGAAUAACUCAGCUGAUCGCACAGUCUCGUACUGGCGACAAAUCCUUCAAGUGUCUGCCUUAUCAACUGUCGAUGGUAGUUUACACGACUACCAUGGUUGUAACGGGUAACGGAGAAUAAGGGUUCGACUCCGGAGAGGGAGCCUGAGAAACGGCUACCACAUCCAAGGAAGGCAGCAGGCGCGCAAAUUACCCACUCUCAGUACGAGGAGGUAGUGACGAAAAAUAACGAGGUGGCCCUCUUUGAGGUCCAUCAUCGGAAUGGGUACAAUUUAAAUCCUUUAACGAGGAUCUAUUGGAGGGCAAGUCUGGUGCCAGCAGCCGCGGUAAUUCCAGCUCCAAUAGCGUAUACUAAAGUUGUUGCGGUUAAAAAGCUCGUAGUUGGAUCUGCGCCAGGUGAAAGCGGUCGCCCGAUGGGUUGUUACUGCUUCUCCCUGGCUAACCCUUCGGUUUUCCCUUCAUGCUCUUAAGUGAGUGUCCUGGGUGACCGGAACGUUUACUUUGAAAAAAUUAGAGUGCUCAAAGCAGGCAUUUCGCCCGAAUAUUCGUGCAUGGAAUAAUAAAAGAGGUCCCUGUAGCCUUUUAUUGGUUAUCGCUACGAGGAAAUGAUCGAAGGGGACAGACGGGGGCAUUUGUAUUGCGACGUUAGAGGUGAAAUUCUUGGAUCGUCGCAAGACAAACUACUGCGAAAGCAUUUGCCAAGAAUGUUUUCAUCAAUCAAGAACGAAAGUCUGAGGUUCGACAGCGAUCAGAUACCGCUUUAGUUCAGACCGUAAACGAUGCCAUCUGGCGAUCCGCCGGCGUUAUGCUUGACCCGGCGGGCAGCCACCGGUAAACCUUUAAGUGGGGUUCCGGGGGAAGUAUGGUUGCAAAGCUGAAACUUAAAGGAAUUGACGGAAGGGCACCACCAGGAGUGGAGCCUGCGGCUUAAUUUGACU